AUUUGAAAUCUGGCCUCUCCGGGGCCCGAGUUGUAAUUUGUAGAGGAUGUUUCGGGUACCGCUCCGGUCUAAAUUUCUUGGAACAGAAUGUCAGAGAGGGUGAGAAUCCCGUCUUGGACCGGCGGUAGGGCCCAUGUGAAACUCCUUCGACGAGUCGAGUUGUUUGGGAAUGCAGCUCAAAAUGGGUGGUAAAUUUCAUCUAAAGCUAAAUAUUGGCCAGAGACCGAUAGCGCACAAGUAGAGUGAUCGAAAGAUGAAAAGCACUUUGAAAAGAGAGUUAAACAGUAUGUGAAAUUGUUGAAAGGGAAGCGCUGACAACCAGACUUGCGCGCGGCGGUUCCCCCAUCCUUUUGGAUGGGUUAUUCCGCCGUGUCCAGGCCAACAUCGGUUCUGGGGGUCGGUCAAAGGCUCUGGGAAUGUAUCUACCCUUCGGGCGUAGACUUAUAGCCCAGAGUGUCAUGCGACCUCCCGGGACCGAGGAACGCGCUUCGGCUCGGAUGUUGGCGUAAUGGUUGUCAGCGACCCGUCUUGAAACACGGACCAAGGAGUCUAACAUCUAUGCGAGUGUUUGGGUGUCAAACCCGGAACGCGAAAUGAAAGUGAACGGAGGUAGGAAGCUUCGGCUGCACUAUCGACCGAUCCUGAUGUCUUCGGAUGGAUUUGAGUAAGAGCAUAGCUGUUGGGACCCGAAAGAUGGUGAACUAUGCCUGAAUAGGGUGAAGCCAGAGGAAACUCUGGUGGAGGCUCGCAGCGGUUCUGACGUGCAAAUCGAUCGUCAAAUUUAGGUAUAGGGGCGAAAGACUAAUCGAACCA
rnacentral:rRNA from 1 species